rnacentral:rRNA from 1 species
GCGAUCAUACCAGCACUAAUGUACCGGAUUCCAUCAGAACUCCGAAGUUAAGCAUGCUUGGGCGAGAGCAGUACUAGGAUGGGUGACACCCGAGAAGUCCUCGUAUUGCACAUA